CAAGCGGAGGAGCAUGUGGUUAAUUCGAUGAUACGCGAGGAACCUUACCUGGGCUCGAACGUAAGAUGACUGUAGGUGAAAGCUUACAUCUCUUCGGAGCAUUUUACGAGGUGCUGCAUGGUUGUCGUCAGCUCGUGCCGUGAGGUGUCGGGUUAAGUCCCAUAACGAGCGCAACCCCUACUUAGUUGCCAUCAGGUUAAGCUGGGGACUCUAAAGGAACUGCCUACGCAAGUAGUGAGGAAGGCGGGGAUGACGUCAAAUCAGCACGGCCCUUACGUCCAGGGCUACACACGUGCUACAAUGGCCGAUACAGAGGGCAGCCACCUGGUGACAGGAUGCAAAUCUCCAAAGUCGGUCUCAGUUCGGAUCGGAGUCUGCAACCCGACUCCGUGAAGUUGGAUUCGCUAGUAAUCGCGCAUCAGCCAUGGCGCGGUGAAUACGUUCCCGGGCCUU
rnacentral:rRNA from 1 species